UACAGAGGUCCCAAGCGUUGUUCGGAUUCAUUGAGCGUAAAGGGUGCGUAGGCGGCGCGGUAAGUCGGGUGUGAAAUCUCGGAGCUUAACUCCGAAACUGCAUUCGAUACUGCCGUGCUUGAGGACUGGAGAGGAGACUGGAAUUUACGGUGUAGCGGUGAAAUGCGUAGAUAUCGUAAGGAAGACCAGUGGCGAAGGCGGGUCUCUGGACAGUUCCUGACGCUGAGGCACGAAGGCUAGGGGAGCAAACGGG
rnacentral:rRNA from 1 species